rnacentral:tRNA from 1 species
UCCCUAGCUCAGUCGGUAAAGCCUGAGACCCUUAAUCUCAGGGUUGUGGGUUUGAGCCCCACAUUGGGCAAAA